CUUGCGUGGAAACCACGUUUUGCUUGGGGGCGAGCAGCUGAAAUUCAUGGCUAAAUGUAAUUCACAGACUGGUAGUUUCUUGAGCCCCAGAGGUUCUGGGAACCUUCAGACAAUGAUUUAUACAGAACAUACGCACAGGACGUACAGCUCUCGGCGGACACACCUCGGGCAGGGGACAGACUUCUCUUUGCAUUCGGAAUGGAAAACGGCUCCACAGCUUUCACACCUGCAAAAGGCAACCAUGGAUGGGGUGAGUGAGACUGGACCAACAGGACACAGAUGCGUGCAGUUCUGUGGCCUGUGGGGCAGCGGGGACACCAUCUAUUAUUCUACGGUCUGGACGUUCCUGCACUUGGGAAGAGAAAUGACUCACAGAAAUGGGCUGUUUCCUUUUCCAAAAUGCUCAAGGUUAAAUUUUUCUUGAAAAACAUGUUUUUUUUUUUUUUUUUUUUCUUUUCCCCCUGAUUAGAAGUAGACUGAGGAGAGAAUUAUGGCUUGUGACGAAGGGGAGCUGGCAGUCAACUAGUGGCUUUGUGAUGACAGUGACAAGGGGCAGAGCACCAGAAGCCCCGCGCUGGUUUCCUCUCUACUAGGAGAGAAGUGUGGGUGGCAACUCUAGGGUGAAGUGAGGUGCAGGGAGGGCCACGUGCCUUGCCAGCCAACAACGCUCGCAUGCCGGUGACCAGCCCAGCGUGACGUGCCUGCAAAUGUGGCUUUCUACUCGUUAAGGACACAUUUUCAUUUUCUGAGUAUUUCAUUACACUGUCUGAGGUCUUACUCUUGUGAGGUUUUUUUAAACAUCAGGAAAGCCCUCCCACCUCUGCAACACGAGUGUGAGAAGUCAGGCACGGAGAGUGGUGCAGAAAACGUUCCUCCUCUUCCCCAACCGCAGGACAGAGAGUAUGAUUUACGGAGGAGACAUUCCCGGCGGAUGACUCGCCUGUGGUUCGGCUGAGUGGAGCCCUGCUCGGGAGUCUGAAGAGCUUGUUUGCACUGCCCAGGUUUUGAGAAUGAAUAACCGACAGGCCCAGCUCUCGCUGCCCCAGUGAAAGCCCCGCUGAUGUGGGCUGAGUCCUCAGCCUUCCACGCUUCAGUGACGCCAAGUGACUCUGGCUCAUCCCAGCAGCCAAGGAAUGGCGCCUGCAGAAUCCUGUUCAGCCAGCAGCCUCUGGGGAGGGUCCAGCAUUGGACUGGGUUCCGAGAGGGCUGCAAGGGCGGCCCUGAGGACCUGGCCUGCCGCUGAUUUAGCCCUGCUACCACUCAAGAGUCACAGAGGCUGGCCAAAGGAGGAUCUUCCUCUCCACCCUCGGCCGGUGGGGUGCGGGCAGAGACUUGGAAGGAUGACCCUGGGGAGGGGCUGUCUGGUCCAGCUGAGAGCCCAGCACCCCGGGGCUUUGCUGCACCCAGCAACCCCUACCCCACGCAGCUUCCUGGGCCCAGUGCAAUGUGCCACGGUCAGGAGAGCAGGCAGGGUGCUGCAGCUCGCUUCCUGGAUGGCUGGCUGUUAGACUCACCUGUGCCCCCUCAGAAGUCAUGUGUUGAAGGCCUGCCUCCAUUGGGACUGCGUUUGGAAAUGGGGUGUUUUAGAGGUAAGUAAGGUUAAAUGAAGUCACAGGGUGACUCCCCAUCGCCUAGGACUGGUGUCCUACAAGAAGCUCCUCUCUAGGCCUCUGAGGAAGGGUCGCGUGAGAAAAGAAAGAAACCUGCUGCCUUCCGGGCAGGAAGUCACCUCACCAGCCACCGAGCACAUGGCACCUCGACCUGAGGUCUCCCGCCUCCAGACCUGGCAGGGACACGCUGGUGUUGUUCCAGCCUCCCGGUCUGCGGCAUUUGGUGUGGCAGCCCUAGUAAGACAAGGCUGUCGAGCAAGUGCCUGGCUCUGAGCUUCAGUCCUGAUCCAAGCAGGGAUUGCCUGAGCAAGCACCUCACAGGGAGCUGCAAAGCUCAGACGGGCUCACGGAUACAGCGUCUAGGCAAGGUGGGCACGGGCUAAGUGCCUCUCGAUUCAGCUGGGUCUGCUCCUUCUGCUGUACCGCCCGGGCUGCCCUGCGGCCUGACCUCACCUGUGUCACUAUGGAGACCCAAGGACAUCUCAGUGAACCCUUUCCUGGCACUUGAGAAACUGGGACUGUAGGAGGGCCACUGACGGUCUCCGGGGGACGCAGGGAGUUGAAGACGGAGCCGUGGCUCUAACACAGGACUCCUGGCAGCCCAGACAAGCCUCCUUGUGUGUGCCAUGCUGCUCAGCUGAAAUCUGGUCAUGGGAGCGAGCCCAGCGUGUUGGUACAUGGAAGCACAGGGCUUCCAAUCAGAAUAUCCUCGCCAAGUCACAGGUGUCUUUUUAUUAUCCUCACCAUCGUCAUUAUUAUUAUUAUUUAUUUUUUUGGAAAGGCAGAGUGACAGAGGGAGAAACAGAGAUAGUUUUCAUCCCCUGGUUUCCUCUCAAAAUGGCCACAAUGGCCACAGCUGGAUGUUCUGAAGCCAGGAGCUAGGAGCUUCUUGUAGGCUCUCCUGUGGGUACAGGGGCCCAAGUACUUAGACCAUCUUGUACUGCUUUCCCAGGUGCAUUAGCGGAGAGAUGGAUCAGAAGUGGAGCAGCUGGACUUGAACCGAUGCCCAUAUGGGAUGCCAGCACUGCAGACAGUGGCUUAACCCGCUAUGCCACAGUGCCAGCCUCCUCACAGGUUUCUUUGUAGCUCAGGGAUCUUGGACUACUACUUUCUUGGUGCUUUGGCACCAAGCAGCCACAAGCUGCUCACAAUGAUGCCUUUCCCAGUCGCUGGGUUGCUGUGAGGAAAAACUGAGCAAAUAUAAGUGGAAGGACCAUGUAAAUGGCAGGUGUGUCAUCGCCUCCCUGACUGGCGCUGUCCUGGACAUGGCAAGGUCAGUUCUGGCCUCUCCCUAGCCCCCACCCUCCUUCCAGCAGGAAUGAAGGUCAGACCCGGGUCUCCCAAUGCUUCUCCUUCCUAGUGGCAGUGGCUUUGUCCUACCUGGGUCACACCUCUAUAACCUCCUGUCACUAAAGUGACACUAAUGAUAGCUUUAUCAAAUAAAUUUCCUCCUUCUUGCCCCUUUGCCCUGCUGGGUUAGUCAGUGGUUUAUACACCCGGGGAUGUUGCCCCAGGGCAGUGAUUGAUAAGGAGAAAACUGGGUUCCUUCAGUGCCACUCCCUUAUCUCUGCUGAUACCAGGCUCCCAGUGAGUGAAGAGAGUGAGCCUUAUCGGAUAUUUCUGGUGCAACAAACACCCAUAGAGUAGUGCAGGGCCCAGUGCACCUGCUCCUUCUAGCCAAAGGUCAGUAACUGAAACAGAAAAAAAAAGUAUGAGAUAAAAAAAAUUAAUGAUUUAAAUAUAGAACCAAGUCCUUUUUUCUAAUAAUUUGUAACCCAGCAGGCAUCUUUUAAACUGUUGUACGGAUGGAUGGAUUGAUCAAUGACCUUCCCCAAUUCAGAUACAUCUAUAGUUAACCCCUCCCCUUACCCUCAACUUUCUCUUUAAAGGACAAGAACAAAGGCAGGAAAAGGAAGGAAACAGAGAAACUGUUCAUGGAACCUUGUAAUAAAAUUGUAACAUAAAAUUCAUGGAACUUUGUAAUAAAAAUUUAACAUGCAAGAAAA